GCCCGGCUGGCUCAGUUGGUGGAGCAUGACAUUACUGAUCUCCAGUCGUGAGUUUGAGCCCCACGUUGGGUA
rnacentral:tRNA from 1 species